AAGGAUCAUUAUCGAGUUUUGACUGGGUUGUAGCUGGCCUUCCGAGGCAUGUGCACGCCCUGCUCAUCCACUCUACACCUGUGCACUUACUGUGGGUUUUACGGGUCGUGAAAUUGGCUCGUUCAUUCGGGCUUGUUGAGCGCACUUGUUGCCUGCGUUUAUCACAAACUCCAUAAAGUAUUAGAAUGUGUAUUGCGAUGUAACGCAUCUAUAUACAACUUUCAGCAACGGAUCUCUUGGCUCUCGCAUCGAUGAAGAACGCAGCGAAAUGCGAUAAGUAAUGUGAAUUGCAGAAUUCAGUGAAUCAUCGAAUCUUUGAACGCACCUUGCGCUCCUUGGUAUUCCGAGGAGCAUGCCUGUUUGAGUGUCAUGAAAUCUUCAAUCUACAAGCUUCUUAUGGGAGUUUGUAGGCUUGGACUUGGAGGCUUGUCGGUCCUUUACAGGUCGGCUCCUCUCAAAUGCAUUAGCUUGGUUCCUUGCGGAUCGGCUUGUCGGUGUGAUAAUGUCUACGCCGGGACCGUGAAGCGUGUUUGGGCGAGCUUCUAACCGUCUCGUUACGGAGACAACUUUAUGACCUCUGACCUCAAAUCAGGUAGGACUACCCGCUGAACUUAA
rnacentral:rRNA from 1 species